AUUGAACGCUGGCGGCAGGCUUAACACAUGCAAGUCGAACGAGUGGCGGACGGGUGAGUAAUGCUUGGGAAUCUGGCUUAUGGAGGGGGAUCACGACGGGAAACUGUCGCUAAUACCGCGUACCAUAGGAUGAGCCCACGUGGGAUUAGGUAGUCGGUGGGGUAAAGGGCUACCAAGCUGACGAUCGCUAGCUGGUCUGAGAGGAUGACCAGCCACACCGGGACUGAGAGACGGCCCGGACUCCUACGGGAGGCAGCAGUGGGGAAUAUUGCGCAAUGGGGGCAACCCGGACGCAGCCAUGCCGCGGGAAUGAAGAAGGCCUUCGGGUUGUAAAGUUCUUUCGGUAUGGAGGCGUUAAAUACAGAAGAAGCACCGGCUAACUCCGUGCCAGCCGCCGCGGUAAUAC
rnacentral:rRNA from 1 species